rnacentral:misc_RNA from 1 species
AGAGGAAUACCCAGGCUGUCAGAUUUUUGGGCAGACAAUGACCACUGAUCACCAUGAUGAACUUACUAAAAUGGGAAUUAGUCCGUCUUCACGAGAGACCAAGUUUAUGUUUAAGUUCCCUUAUGUUAUAUACUGUGCUCCUCCAUCCCGAACUGAAGACUACCCUGGUGAUGUUAGGGACGCUGCAUUAAAGUGGAGUGGUGAAGGUUCUUUCCUGUUUACCUCAAGCUCUGCACCAUAUGACUGCUCUGAUAAUGGAUCAGUAGAUGAGGAUGGUCCCGUAGUCCCAAUUGGAAGGAGCCCAAGGACAGAUAUACUUCUCAAGGCAGAAGAAGUAGUGCUGGAGUUUGGUGGUUCUGUUGUUAGAUUGGCGGGUCUUUAUAAGGAAGACAGAGGUGCACACACAUAUUGGUUACAUAAAGGAACUGUGGAUAUUCGCCCUGAUCACAUCCUCAAUCUUAUCCAUUAUGAGGAUGCUGCCUCCUUGGCAGUGACCAUAUUGAAGAAGAGGCCCCGCAGUCGGAUUUUUUUGGGUUGUGACAACCACCCCUUGUCCAGGCAGGAACUAAUGGACUUGGUCAAUAAAAGUGGGAAGUUUGAGAGGAAGUUUGAGGGUUUUACUGGAACUAGUGGCCCUCUGGGGAAGAAGUUAAACAAUUCAAAAACUCGUGCUGAGCUAGGAUGGGAGCCUAAAUAUCCAAGUUUCGCUCAGUUCCUUGGAGUUUCAGAUUAAAUUGCUGCAGAAGCUCUAUUCUUUCGAAAUAAUGAAGAAAUGCAGGUGAACUAUUUUCACAGAGUUGUCUUUUAAUGCGGCAUAUUCUGAUCAGUGUUUUUGUGCACUUAAUUGCACCAUGUUGUGCAGAUAUUGCGUGUGUAAUAUAAUUCUGAGUUUUGGUUUAUGUGUACUAUGUCUCCGCUCUAAUUUGUUGUUAGGAAGGGAUGGUUGUGUUUGUCAAUUACUACUGAGAUGUUUAUGAUUGGAUUAAGG